UGCUUACAGUCAAAAGAAGAUAACGAGAGAUUGGAUCUGGGAAAGUCCUACUCUUCUGCAAAGGAUAAUGCAGGCCUGCUGGUGUUCAUUGGGAAUGGAGACAAGGAAAGGGUUGCAUGGCUUAAUUGGCUGUCAAAACUCUACAGGGGAUGGGCAAUAUGAAGCCUUUCUAUUGGUCAGAUUGAGACUGCUGUCCUGUGGAUGUCUCUGCCUGAGCAGAUGGUGACCGUGACCCUGUUGCAUGUUUAACAGGAGUAACCGAGGAUGUCCUCUUUUUCCAGCGGACUGAAUAAUCAGGUUUCUU